rnacentral:tRNA from 1 species
GGUUGUGGCUCAGUGGUAGAGCGCUUGCCUUGCAAACAUGGGACACUGGGUUCGAUCCCCAGCACCA